rnacentral:sRNA from 1 species
CCAUACUUCAUUGGGGAGUAGCCGCUAUUCACAGCAAAUGUGAAUAGGUGAUGGUCAACAUAAUUGUUCAACAGAACAUGGUCAUCAUAGCUUAAACGUCUCAUCGUUCCUGAGUUGGCAAGACCUUUGAUUUACCACUCUGCAAUCAUUUUAUGAUAUUUGGCUAGCAGGAGGGGUAGGUCAUAGGCAUUUAUGCU